UCGCCUGUUUAUCAAAAACAUUGUCUGCUUGACCCAACCAUAGUAGAUACUUCCUGCCCAAUGACUAUAAAUUCAAUGGCCGCGAUAAUUCGUGCAAAGGUAGCAUAAUCAUUUGCCCCUUAAUUAGGGGCUCGUAUGAAUGGAUCCACGCAAAAGAAGCUGUCUCUAAAAGACCCAUAAAAAUUAACCUUUAAGUGAAAAUGCUUAAAUCAAAAUAGAAGACAAGAAGACCCUGUCGCACUUCACCACCAAAGCAUUAUAUACUAUUGCCCCGCUGGUUUGGUUGGGGCGACCCUUGACAUUAAAAAACGUCAACCACAUACUAGGCCCUCUAGCCAAUAAUAAUGACCCUUAUUAGAUCAUAGAAAAAGCCACCGCAGGGAUAACAGGCUAAUCCCCUCCUAGAGCUCUAAUCGACGAGGGGGGUUAGCACCUCGAUGUUGGCUUAGGGUACCCAUUAAAUGUAGCAGUUUAAAAUGGAAGGUUUGUUCAACCUAUUAACCCUACGUGAUCUGAGUUCAGACCGGA
rnacentral:rRNA from 1 species